rnacentral:rRNA from 1 species
UGGUGACGAUGGCAAAAGGGUCACACCUGUUCCCAUCCCGAACACAGAAGUUAAGUCUUUUAGCGCCGAUGGUACUUGGGGGGGCAACUCCCUGGGAGAGUAGGACGUCGCCGGGCU